UACGGAGGGGGCUAGCGUUGUUCGGAUUUACUGGGCGUAAAGGGCGCGUAGGCGGCCACCGCAAGUCGGUUGUGAAAUCUCCGGGCUUAACCCGGAAAGGUCAAUCGAUACUGCGGGGCUAGAGUGCAGAAGGGGCAACUGGAAUUCUCGGUGUAGCGGUGAAAUGCGUAGAUAUCGAGAGGAACACCUGCGGCGAAGGCGGGUUGCUGGGCUGACACUGACGCUGAAGCGCGAAAGCUAGGGGAGCGAACGGG
rnacentral:rRNA from 1 species